UACAGGGGGGGCAAGCGUUGUUCGGAAUUACUGGGCGUAAAGGGGUAGUAGGCGGCCAACUAAGUCGAACGUGAAAUCCCCGGGCUCAACCCGGGAACUGCGUCCGAUACUGGAAGGCUUGAAUCCGGGAGAGGGAUGCGGAAUUCCAGGUGUAGCGGUGAAAUGCGUAGAUAUCUGGAGGAACACCGGUGGCGAAGGCGGCAUCCUGGACCGGCAUUGACGCUGAGGCGCGAAAGCCAGGGGAGCAAACGGG
rnacentral:rRNA from 1 species